ensembl:lncRNA RAD51-AS1 RAD51 antisense RNA 1
UCCGCCCUGCGCGCUAACCCAAGACGGGAGCUCGAGAGCUUGAUCCUGCGCGAGUUUACAGACUGCCCUCUUCCCUUUUUGCAUCGAAGACCACGACUCCCAAGAGGUAAUGCGUCGGCCCGGGACUACAUCUCCCGGCAUGCAUCGCCGGCGGGUCCGCGAGUUCUCACCAUCGCAGCUGGACUAUUAGCGGGGGCCCUAGCGCUCUUGUGGUUUGUUUCGGCAGUAUCUGAAUGUCAGCUUUUGGCACUUCUGGUCGCUCUGAGCCUCCUACUCGCAUUCCUGGAGCAAGGAAAAGUGUAAUGUUGGUUCGAGCUCAAGAAGGAAUCUGGAUUCCGUUUGCCAGACUAGUCAAAGAAUCCUGCGUCAAAAUCAAGAGAACGAACAAGCCUUCAUUGCCAUGGCACAUUUAUUAUAAAAAGAAAGGGAGAGAUGUUGCGGGAAGUCAGGGACCCCGGAGGGACCAGCUGAAGCCAUGGCAGAAGAACAUAAAUUGUGAAGAUUUCAUGGACAUUUAUUAGUUCCCCAAUCAAUACCCUUGUGAUUUCCUAUGCCUGUCUUUACUUUAAUCUCUUAAUCCCGUCAUCUUCGUAAACUGAGGAGGAUGUAUGUCGCCUCAGGACCCUGUGAUGAUUGUGUUAACUGCACAAAUUGUAGAGCAUUUGUGUUUGAACAAUAUGAAAUCUGGGCACCUUGAAAAAAGAACAGGAUAACAGUGAUGUUCACGGAACAAGAGAGAUAACCUUAAACUCUGACUGCCGGUGAGCUGGACGGAACAGAGCCAUAUUUCUCUUCUUUCAAAAGCAAAUGGGAGAAAUAUCACUGAAUUCUUUUUCUCAGCAAGGAACAUCCCUGAGAAAGAGAAUGCAUCCCUGAGGGUAGGCCUCUGAAAUGGCUGCUUCAGGGCAGCUGUCUUUUAUGGUCGCAGCUGUGGGGAUGAAAUAAGCCCCAGUUUCUCAGAGUGCUCCCAGGCUUAUUAGGACGAGGAAAUUCCUGCCUAAUAAAUUUUGGUCAGACCAGUUGUCUGCUCUCAAACCCUGUCUCCUGAUAAGAUGUUAUCAAUGACAAUGCAUGCCCGAAACUUCAUUAGCAAUUUUAAUUUCACCCCAGUCCUGUGGUCCUGUGAUCUCGCCCUGCCUCCAUUUACCUUGUGAUAUCUUAUUACCUUGUGAAGCAUGGGAUCUCUGUGACCCAUACCCUAUUUGUACACUCCCUCCCCUUUUGAAAAUCACUAAUAAAAAA